GUCAGGAAGAAGGUGGUCUAUGCACCUCCACUGGCCCAGAGGCAGAUUUACCAGGAAGCUAGUGAAAUCCACCAGCCACUUGGUAGAUCAAGGCAAUGGAGCGUGUUCCAGGCAAACAUCUCCAGUAGCUGGACCGCCAGUGUCUGCUAUGCUCCUGACCUCUGUUUGGGGGAAGCGCAGCAGAGGGAGACAGAUGGAGAUGGGCUACAGGGGGUGAUCCAUUUUCUUUGACUGGUUGCACCACACCUGGAUGCCUUCAUUUCUGUAUCUUGAACACUGAACAAUGCCAUCUUCCUUCAGAGAUGGUCUCUGCCAGCUACUGAAGAUCUAGUGACUAAGAGAGUCUGUGUGCCUCUCCAUAUGCUAUAGAUUGGAGCAGCAUUUUGGACCAGGAGUUUCAUCAUCUUCUGGACACUUAUUAGAAAUGUGGCCUGGCACAGUGGUGCACAGCUGUAAUCCCAGCUACUCAAGGGGCUGAGGCAGGAAGAU